ACGUCGAGGCGCGCCGGUUCACAACAAGGGGCUACGAACUGUGUGGGUCGCGAUUGGGGACAAACAACCAAAACACCUUGCUCUUGCUGACGAAAAUACUAUCAUUCAGCGAAGUGAAGUAAAUCUGCUGAGACAUGCUGCCUGCAUUCCUCGGAACUGCAGUGCCACAUCCAAAGACAAGUCUCGAUUGCAAAUGUCAAGAUACAAUCUUUUCGCAGACGAUCAUUUCAGCGACGUGGCUGCGACGGAUUGAUGGCUGCACGUGACACCGCAAAAAGCUCUGAUAAACCAUAAAACUAUUAUUUUUACAUUCUUGAGUGAUACUAUAACGUAAUAUCAAAGCUUUGGCUUUUUGUUGUCACUGAAGAUUAUAACUUAGUGCUUUGUUUGUCCUAAAAUUAUUACUGUCCUAAAAUUAUGACCAUUCACUGUAUGAAUAACAUAUCCUAUUACAUCUCUUAUGGGGUAAA